rnacentral:lncRNA from 1 species
UUGUGUUCAUCUACAACUAAAAAUUUAAAAAGAUUGUUUUACUCUAUAAGUAUACAAAAGUGUGAUUUCUUAUAUAGAGUAUAUAUUUAUACACUGUAUUGUAUUUUUAAAUAUCAAAAAGUUAUAAUUAUUUUCUGGAAAAAAAUUUCAAAAUUGUCUCAACAUGCUGAAGAAAACCUAAGUAAACAAUAAAUGAAGGAAAAAUUAAGACAGUUAAAAGAUAUCCCUUCUAAAAACUUACAUUUAGAAUCUGAUUUUUUAUGAGAAAAAAACUUAACUACAUCUUUUCUAACAUUCUACAAGACUAACCUAAAACUGAUUAUAAAACUAGAUAAGAGGGCCCACAAAAACAAAAUGUAGACUUUCCUUAUGAAGAUAAAUCUAGUAAUUAAAACUUCUAGUAAAUUGUAUCCAGUGGUUUAUUUAACUAAAUAUAGAACAGUAAAUCAUGUAUGGAAUAUCUUGGGCCUGAUUCAUCCUACCUUAAUUAUACAUUGCAGGCAUUCUACCUUCAGUAGAAUUCUACCUUUACUUUUAUCACAGUAAAAAAUCCAGCCCUAGUACCUUAAUUCUUUGGGGGUUUUUCUAGCUGUCUAUAUGAAGAAUAGAAUGAAUUCUGUGUUUGCAAAAUUACAAC